rnacentral:lncRNA from 1 species
GGUGCAGGUGGGUUCGGGUGGCCAAAGAAGGGACAGAGCUGCGUGUGAACCUUAGUUUUCCCGAACUGGUCGAGGUAGCGGAGGAAUUCAAGGACGUGAGCGCCGCUGCAGCGAGAGAGGGUGAGUGGAGGACGGUGAUUGCGGAGGUACUGGCCGAACGUGUUCCAGUCUCGGCGUUUUUGGUUCUCGUAGCGGCUGAGAGUGGCGGGGGGGGGGGGGGGGGGGGGGGGGGUUGGGGGGGGGGGGGGGGGGGGGGGGGGGGGGGAGGGGGGGGGGGGGGGGAGGGGGGGGGGGCGAAGCGCCGCUGCAGCGAGAGAGGGUGAGUGGAGGACGGUGAUUGCGGAGGUACUGGCCGAACGUGUUCCAGUCUCGGCGUUUUUGGUUCUCGUAGCGGCUGAGAGUGGCGGUGGAGGAUGAUGGUGGUGGUUGUUGUGGUGGUGAUGAGGCUGAUGAUGAGGUGAAAUUGGAGGUGCUUGAGGUGCCUGGUGUGAG